rnacentral:rRNA from 1 species
CUUUUCGGGGUAGAGAAUUUUGGGACUGAGUGGGCGGACCGGGUGAUUAAAGGCUGGGGUUAACCUUUCCCUAUGAAGGGGGGUUAACAGUUUAGAAAUGAUGGUUAUUCCCGCCUAAGCGCCCCGUAUCGCCAUGAUUCAGUUGAAAAAACUUCCGUGACAUAGGAGGGACCCGCUUCGAUUAGGUUGUUGGUGAGUAAUGGCUCCCCAAGGCGACGAUCAGUAGCCGGCUUGAGAGAGUGAACGGCCACAUUGNGACUGAGACACGGCCCAAAACUCCUACGGGAGGCAGCAGUGGGGAAUAUUGCACAAUGGGGGAAACUCUGAUGCAGCGACGCCGCGUGAGUGAUGAAGUAUUUCGGUACGUAAAGCUCUAUCAGCAAGGAAGAUAAUGACGGUACUUGACUAAGAAGCCCCGGCUAACUACGUGCCAGCAGCCGCGGUAAUACGUAGGGGGCAAGCGUUAUCCGGAUUUACUGGGUGUAAAGGGCGUGUAGGCGGAGAUGCAAGUUGGGAGUGAAAUCCCGGGGCUCAACCCCGGAACUGCUUUCAAAACUGUAUCCCUUGAGUAUCGGAGAGGCAAGCGGAAUUCCUAGUGUAGCGGUGAAAUGCGUAGAUAUUAGGAGGAACACCAGUGGCGAAGGCGGCUUGCUGGACGACAACUGACGCUGAGGCGCGAAAGCGUGGGGAGCAAACAGGAUUAGAUACCCUGGUAGUCCACGCUGUAAACGAUGAAUACUAGGUGUGGGAGGACUGACCCCUUCCGUGCCGCAGUUAACACA